rnacentral:rRNA from 1 species
AUGUUUGUGCAGCUGCCUGACUCACUUUUCAAGGAACAUCUAGCACCACCAAGUUUGCCGACUGCACUUGUAACGAUCUCCGGUGGUAUUUUGUGCGCUGCAGAGGUGGAGAUAGAGGUCGCAAAGAUAGCCUCGGUUCAGUCAUCAUGGAAGUGGGAAGCCAUGCCGCAUGGAGACAAUGCUUACCUAGUUUGUUUCCCGUCCCUCGAGAUUUUGAAACGUGUAGCUGCUUUUGAGUAUAAUGUCAAAUCUCACGACGUGAAGGUGUCUUUCAGUGAAUGGAUAGCUGAGGAGGGCACGUCUGUUCUUCCUUUGCAGCCUGUAUGGGUUCACGUCACUGGCGUUCCACCACCUCUCCGCCAUUUCCUUGGUUUGUGGGCAGUUGGAUCAGUUAUAGGAAAUUGUUGGCGCCGCUUCUCGCGGCGCCGCUCUUCUUCUACCUCUUGCCUCACACAAGGAGACGCGUCGGGCGCGUCGGGACCGCGGGAGUGGACCGCGUCGAGGCGCUAG